rnacentral:rRNA from 1 species
AGCAGCCGCGGUAAUUCCAGCUCCAAUAGCGUAUAUUAAAGUUGUUGCAGUUAAAAAGCUCGUAGUUGAAUUUCGGGAUCAAUGCGUCGGUCGUGCCUCCGGUAUGUACUGGUGUUAUUGAUUUCUCCCUUCUGAUGAACCAUGAUGUCAUUAAUUUGAUGUUGUGGGGAGUCAGGACUGUUACUUUGAAAAAUUAGAGUGUUUAAAGCAGGCUCACGCUUGAAUACAUUAGCAUGGAAUAAUGAAAUAGGACGUUCGAUCCUAUUUUGUUGGUUUCUAGGAUCAACGUAAUGAUUAAUAGGGAUAGUUGGGGGCAUUAGUAUUCAAUUGUCAGAGGUGAAAUUCUUGGGUUUAUUGAAGACUAACUACUGCGAAAGCAUUUGCCAAGGAUGUUUUCAUUAAUCAAGAACGAAAGUUAGGGGAUCGAAGACGAUCAGAUACCGUCGUAGUCUUAGCCAUAAACUAUGCCGACU